AUAGAAGCAAUGAAGAGCAGUAGUAGCAAUUUAAACCAGUUUCAGUGAGUAUGGGAUAGUGUGAACCAUAUAACAUGGCGAUUGUGAAGGCAGCUUGGAGCUUAGUUUAUUGAGGUGGAUGAUAGUUAUAUCAUCAAGUAGGGUGGAACCGCGAUGUUUAUCGUCCCUAUG
rnacentral:ncRNA from 1 species